GACCACGUGACCGAAGGGCUUAGGUGAGGGUCUGCAAAACCCUUGAUCCGGGUUCGAGUCCCGGCGUGGUCU
rnacentral:tRNA from 1 species